CCUACGGGAGGCAGCAGUGAGGAAUAUUGGUCAAUGGGCGCGAGCCUGAACCAGCCAAGUAGCGUGAAGGAUGACUGCCCUACGGGUUGUAAACUUCUUUUAUAAUGGAAUAAAGUGAGGCACGUGUGCCUCUUUGUAUGUACUUUAUGAAUAAGGAUCGGCUAACUCCGUGCCAGCAGCCGCGGUAAUACGGAGGAUCCGAGCGUUAUCCGGAUUUAUUGGGUUUAAAGGGAGCGUCGGUGGUAUGUUAAGUCAGUUGUGAAAGUUUGGGGCUCAACCGUAAAAUUGCAAUUGAUACUGGCAUCCUAGAGUACAGUUGAGGUAGGCGGAAUUCGUGGUGUAGCGGUGAAAUGCUUAGAUAUCACGAAGAACUCCGAUUGCGAAGGCAGCUUACUAAACUGCCACUGACGUUGAUGCUCGAAAGUGUGGGUAUCAAACAGGAUUAGAUACCCUAGUAGUC
rnacentral:rRNA from 1 species